rnacentral:rRNA from 1 species
UUUACCUGUGUGACUGCGUACCUUUUGUAUAAUGGGUCAGCGACUUAUAUUCUGUAGCAAGGUUAACCGAAUAGGGGAGCCGGAGGGAAACCGAGUCUUAAUUGGGCGUUAAGUUGCAGGGUAUAGACCCGAAACCCGGUGAUCUAGCCAUGGGCAGGUUGAAGGUUGGGUAACACUAACUGGAGGACCGAACCGACUAAUGUUGAAAAAUUAGCGGAUGACCUGUGGCUGGGGGUGAAAGGCCAAUCAAACCGGGAGAUAGCUGGUUCUCCCCGAAAGCUAUUUAGGUAGCGCCUCGUGAAUUCAUCUCCGGGGGUAGAGCACUGUUUCGGCUAGGGGGCCAUCCCGGCUUACCAACCCGAUGCAAACUGCGAAUACCGGAGAAUGUUAUCACGGGAGACACACGGCGGGUGCUAACGUCCGUCGUGAAGAGGGAAACAACCCAGACCGCCAGCUAAGGUCCCAAAGUCAUGGUUAAGUGGGAAACGAUGUGGGAAGGCCCAGACAGCCAGGAUGUUGGCUUAGAAGCAGCCAUCAUUUAAAGAAAGCGUAAUAGCUCACUGGUCGAGUCGGCCUGCGCGGAAGAUGUAACGGGGCUAAACCAUG